CCUUAUUGGAGAGUUUGAUCCUGGCUCAGGACGAACGCUGGCGGCGUGCUUAACACAUGCAAGUCGAGCGGUAAGGCCCUUCGGGGUACACGAGCGGCGAACGGGUGAGUAACACGUGGGUAACCUGCCCUGUACUCUGGGAUAAGCCCGGGAAA
rnacentral:rRNA from 1 species